UCUACCAAGUUAUCCUUCCCAAAAGGUUACUUUAGUGGAUAGAUUAUUUAUAAUUAUUACUACUAAGCAAGACAAAAUUACUAAAUGUCUAAGUUGCGUACUACUUUGUGCAGAAAUUUGUCAGUCAACCGUCUGAAUGGCUCGCUUCCAGAUUCCCUCUGUAAAAAUAAUGCAGGAUCUUACGUUUUCAGGUUUGGGUUUUCCUGUUAACCUUUUUUUCUAUUAAUAUGCGUCCAAAUGUGAAAUGUGGAGUGUUCUUCUUUCUGCGAUCUUACACAUGUACGGAUGUAACAAAUUUAAGAUUGUCUUCCACACCAAAUACUCUGAACUGAUUGUAGUAAGUAAUUUAAGGUAUGAAUCUGAUCAAGACAUGUGCAACCAAACAAUUAGCCCGUCUUCAUCGAGAAAUAGAACAUCUAUCAUAUCUAUUUCAGUAUUGGUUCCUGCACUGGUAGUGGCUGUACUUGUCAUUUCAUAUCUGGUCUGGAGGCAGAAAAGAAAGCCUAACAGUGAGUGUGCUCUUAUGGUCUUAUCUUCUAUAACAUGUAUCAAUGGGGAUUAUCAUGGUUUACCAUAUUUAGUAUUUAUGUUAUAUCUAUCAUUUGCACGACCAGUUUCUACUCGUGAUCCUGCCACAGGCAGAACUUGUGGGAGCUCCAGUUAGUAGGAAAGGUCACAGGGAGCACCUGGAAAAUACUGAGAAUCGCCGAUUCACAUACAAGGAGUUGGAGAAGUUUACAAAUAAGUUUGAAAGGUUCAUUGGACAAGGAGGUUUUGGGCUUGUAUACUAUGGUCGUUUAGAAGACAAUACUGAGGUUGCUGUCAAGAACUCAAGAUGCGUUGAAAGGUUCAUUGGACAAGGAGGUCUUGGGCUUGUAUACUAUGGUCGUUUAGAAGACAAUACUGAGGUUGCUGUCAAGAUGUGUUCUGAGUCCUCGUCACAUGGACCCGAUGAGUUCUUAGCUGAGGUUCAGAGCUUGACAAAGGUGUAUCACAGGAAUCUAGUAUCAUUGGUUGGUUUCUGCUGGGAGAAAGAUCAUUUGGCACUGGUUUAUGAGUACAUGUCUCAAGGCAAUCUUUAUGAUCAUCUGAGAGGUUUGUCCAUUGCAAACGUAACCACUGAUUACGUGAUUAAGAGAGAACAACUGUGUAGCGGUCUCAGAUCGCAUACAAUUUCUGUGCAUUGUUCAAGACAUUGUCUCAAUUCCGAAGUAGUUUUCGGCUAUCUACGUCUCUA